rnacentral:rRNA from 1 species
GACGAACGCUGGCGGCGUGCUUAACACAUGCAAGUCGAACGGAAAGGCCCUGCUUUUGUGGGGUGCUCGAGUGGCGAACGGGUGAGUAACACGUGAGUAACCUGCCCUUGACUUUGGGAUAACUUCAGGAAACUGGGGCUAAUACCGGAUAGGAGCUCCUGCUGCAUGGGGGGGGUUGGAAAGUUUCGGCGGUUGGGGAUGGACUCGCGGCUUAUCAGCUUGUUGGUGGGGUAGUGGCUUACCAAGGCUUUGACGGGUAGCCGGCCUGAGAGGGUGCCCGGCCACAUUGGGACUGAGAUACGGCCCAGACUCCUACGGGAGGCAGCAGUGGGGAAUAUUGCACAAUGGGCGGAAGCCUGAUGCAGCAACGCCGCGUGCGGGAUGACGGCCUUCGGGUUGUAAACCGCUUUCGCCUGUGACGAAGCGUGAGUGACGGUAAUGGGUAAAGAAGCACCGGCUAACUACGUG